rnacentral:rRNA from 1 species
GACGAACGCUGGCGGCGUGCUUAACACAUGCAAGUCGAACGGAAAGGCCCUGCUUUUGUGGGGUGCUCGAGUGGCGAACGGGUGAUUAACACGUGAGUAACCUGCCCUUGACUUUGGGAUAACUUCAUGAAACUUGGGCUAAUACCGGAUAGGAGCUCCUGCUGCAUGGUGGGGGUUGGAAAGUUUCGGCGGUUGGGGAUGGACUCGCGGCUUAUCAGCUUGUUGGUGGGGUAGUGGCUUACCAAGGCUUUGACGGGUAGCCGGCCUGAGAGGGUGACCGGCCACAUUGGGACUGAGAUACGGCCCAGACUCCUACGGGAGGCAGCAGUGGGGAAUAUUGCACAAUGGGCGGAAGCCUGAUGCAGCAACGCCGCGUGCGGGAUGACGGCCUUCGGGUUGUAAACCGCUUUCGCCUGUGACGAAGCGUGAGUGACGGUAAUGGGUAAAGAAGCACCGGCUAACUACGUG